rnacentral:rRNA from 1 species
AUUGAACGCUGGCGGCAGGCUUAACACAUGCAAGUCGAGCGAGCGGCGGACGGGUGAGUCAUGUCUGGGAAACUGCCUGAUGGAGGGGGAUAACUAAUGGAAACGGUAGCUAAUACCGCAUACCAUAAGAUGUUCCCAGAUGGGAUUAGCUAGGAGGUGGGGUAAUGGCUCACCUAGGCGACGAUCACUAGCUGGUCUGAGAGGAUGACCAGCGACACGGGAGCAUAGACGCGGUCCAGACUCCUACGGGCGGCAGCAGUGGGGAAUAUUGCACAAUGGGCGCAAGCCUGAUGAAGCCAUGCCGCUUGUGUGAAGAAGGCCUUCGGGUUGUAAAGCACUUUCAGCGAGGAGGCGUUACUCGCAGAAGAAGCACCGACUGGCUCCGUGCCAGCCGCCGCGGUAAUAC